rnacentral:lncRNA from 1 species
ACCGUUGCUAUGAUCUUACAUUAAAGACUUUUUUGAUAGACAUUUUCUGGAAUUUGUGAAAUAAGGAAAGUGUGACUUAAUUACAGUGUUUGAUUUGUUUUGUUCCCUUUCAAGAAGCAGCUGAUUACCAGUAACUCAGUGAGACAUGUCUCAACUUGGCUUGGACGUCUACUUCCUCAAAAGAUUACUAUUGAUGGUGAUGACCAUACACUGAGAAAAAUUGUGUAGGUUGGGUGAGAACGACACGUGUUGAAUCAUUAUCAAGCAGGUAGAAUAGCCGCAAGGCUUAAGAGGUGAGGGUGAUAAAAAAAUCGUAUAUAAAGGAGACGAAAAAGGCCAGAGACAUUAGUCGAGUGAACAACUCCGACACGGCAACAACUGCAGUGCACUAUUGCCUUGGUCACCAACUGCUUUCUUCAUCGUAUUGCCAGCUCGCAAUCAUGGUUUCUUGUUAUUUAUUGUGUCGUGCUACUGUUGGUUGUCGUAUCGUUCACUGGUCGACUGCUGCUGUGCUGAUGUCUCCUGGGUAUGGUGGAUACCAAAUCGCAACGCUGCCUCCUUACUAUUCAACAAAACCAUACGCAACAACCGGUUACUCCACAACCAAGGCUCCAGAACAUCACGCCGCAGCUUAUGAUGCUUACGGGCUACAUCACCAAAGAGCCUGCCGACUACACCGAGGCUUCCAAGUACUACACCACUAAGUCACCGGAGUACUACACGGCUACGUAUGCUGCCCUUGCCUACUGUACCGAGGCUUCUAGCUACCACUCCAUCCUAGCUACUACACUGAGGCUCCAGCUUUUUACAACAGCGGAGCGCGUAAGCCCUAUACUACAACCUACGCUGCCCCGAUCCACUACACCGACGCCCCGAAGUAUUACUCUGCGUAAAAGGAGUCGUCUAGAAAAAUGAAGUCGUUUAAAAGGAGAGAAAAGGUGAUAGAAAUUAGUUGAGUGAGGAUCUCCAACAUGGCAACAACUGCAGCGUAUAGUUCUCAACAACUGGAUUGUUCAUCUCAUCGUAUAACCUGUUCGCAAUCAUGUUUACUAUGGCGUGUUGCUGUUGGGUGUGUAAUCGUUGAUGGCUGGGUCGACGACUCGUGUACUGAUGUCUCCUUAGUAUGGCGGGUGCCAAACCGCAACGCCGCCGUCUUAUUACACAACCUACGCAACGACCAGUUACUUCACCACCAAGGCACCAGAAUAUUACACCACAACUUAUGAUGCCCCGAUCUGCACCACCAAGGUACCGGAGUACUACACGACUACGUAAGCUGCCCCGUCCUACUACACCGAGGCCCCGAGUACUACUGUUCCCAGCUACUACACCGAGGUUCCGGCUUAUUACUCCACUAAAGCUAGCGAAUACUACACCGAAGUGUCCAAGUACUACUCUGCACCGAGCUCCACCAUCACAACUGAGGAGGCGAAGUAUUACUACCCAACGGCUGCUCCUUCGUACUAAGUUGACCUGAAAAACUACACUGAUGCGAUAGCUUACUACACCAAAACCUACGCUACACCUAGAUACUGCACCACAGAAGUCGAAUAUUACACAACAACCAAUGCUGCCCAGUCUACUACACCGACGAACAUCAGUAUUACUCUUCUCUAAGCUACUACCGAACAGAAACUUCCGCUUACUACACCACCUAGGUCCCGGAGGUUUACACUUCAGCUUACGCAUCCCCAAGCUACUAUGCCGAGACUUCUAAGUACGUAUCCAAGGCAACCGAGUAUUACCACUGCUAACGCUGUUCCGACCUACUACACCGAAGUUCUGAAGUUUUACUCCACCAUGAGUUACUACACCACUGAGGCACCUGAAAAUUACACCACAACCUACGCUUCUCCAACUCACAACAGGGACGCUUCUAAAAAUUAGAGUCGAAUUUUCAGAUUUGUUGGUCAUAUCUUAAAAAUUACUAGUCACUAGGAAUUGUUGAUCUUUGAGAAAAUAAAUUUUUAUCAGGGUAA